ensembl:lncRNA LOC120098901 uncharacterized LOC120098901
AUGAGGGCUCUGUGCCCAGCCAAUGGCGCGCGCGCGCUCUGACUCGCGGGCGCGCUGCCUCCGUCGCAGCCCUCGCCGGGUGGCGCGCACCCGCAACCCACCUGCGGGCGCGUAGACCCUACCCUGGCUUCUCCCGCGCGCCGCGCGCGGCCCACACUGCCUCCCUAACCCCGCCUGCCGCGCGCACGCGCUCUCGGCUCUCCCUGGCGCCGCAGCCUGCGCGCCUUCUCACGCUGGAAGCGAAGAAGGUUGGAGCGCGCCAGAAGCGCGGGCUGUGGCAAGCUGCUCCGCGCGUCCGCUCGCCCGGCGAUGGCGGAUAGGCUCUAUUCACAAUGCCAGGCAGAGCUAGGACUGCCAUCCCGGGCUGCGACGAGACAAGCGCGCGCUGAUUGAUUGCUUGUUGACCACACAUUGGGAAACUGAGGCCCGAACCGCCUAAGAUUCUCUUUCCCGGCUCUGCGAGCCCAGCCGACGUUCCUUACAAGGUCCCGGCAGUGAGGAAUGAGCGGCCACCUGAGGACUGCACCGGGCAGGGAGCAAGAACUCAGUGGCCCUGCCCUUUCUUUUCAUCAUCUGCUGCAGAACAGCAUCAUAUUCAAGAAUGAGGACAUGAUGAGCAGGGGGUGGUUUUCACGACAGGAUGCUUCCCGAGCAAGAUAAAAGGGUCCAGGAGACACGGGGCCAUUCAUCUACACAUUCUGGAGGCGGAAGGUAGGAAGAAAGAAUAGCAGAGGUUUCCUGACUUGGACUACCAAGCUCGCACAAAAAGCAAAAUUCUUGAGUGCUUUCCUCAUCUCUCCCCAUCUUCCCCUUCCUCACCCCUGUCCCAUCAUGUAGCUCCCUGUGUUCCUGAGCUGAUUGGCUUCUCCUCUCAUGCCCUAUAGUCAGACAUGAUUUUCUGGACUCACAGACAACCCAGGAGCAAUAAGAGAAAACAUCACAUUUGUCUUUCGGAGACUGACCUAAGACGACUCCUAUGAUUCUCUUCAGCAGCAUCCAUGCUUCUGUGAACAGUGUGACUUCUUUUGUGGGUACUGAGAAAUCCAUCAUGUGUAUUUCACAUCCUGGUUAUCCAUUGCUCUUUUGAUGGAUGCUGUACUGGCUGGUUCUGUGUGUCCACUUGACACAAGCUGGGGUUAUCCCAGAGAAAGGAGCCUCCCUUGAGGAGAUGCCGCCAUGAGACCCAGCUGUAAGGCAUUUUCUCAAUUAGUGAUCAAGGGGAGAAGGUCCAGCCCAAUGUGGGCGGUGCCAUCCCGGGGCUGGUGGUCCUGGGUUCUAUAAGAAAGCAG